rnacentral:lncRNA from 1 species
GGGCCUCUAUGGGCAAUCCAUCACCAAAUGUUAUGUACUCCAACACUUGUAACAGGAGUGGUUCAAAUGUCGACAAGGCUAAUCACCAUGGUAGCGACCACAAUGUCGGCAAGGGGGAGAAGUCCGAAUAAGAUCUCUACUAGGAAGGGAAAAAACAGAAGGGGCUGGAACAAGGCCAAGGUCUGGAAAUCUCCUCUUUUGCUACUAUUGCUACU